rnacentral:lncRNA from 1 species
AACAGCUUCACAUUUUUCUUGUGCUGGGGGCCCCAGGCCUGGAUGCAAUACACCAAAUGGGGCCUCACAAGGGCAAAGUAGAGGGAGACAAUCACUUUCUUCCCUCUACUGGACACCUCUCUUUUGAUGCAGCCCAUGAUACAGCUGUCCCUCCAGGCUGCAAGAGCACAGUUAGCUUAUGUCGUCUGGCAUUCAUCCACCAGAACUCUCAAGUCCUUCUCCACAGCGCUGCUCUCAGGGUGUUCUCGCAGUUUGUACACAUACCUGUGAUUACCCCAACCCAGGUGGAACACCUUGCACUUGGCUUUGUUGAACCUCAUUAGGUUCACGUGGGCCCACUACCUUGUUUCUUUUCCCUGCUACUAGUAGGAAGUGCACUAGCAAAACCUGUGGGAAAGCCAAAGACAUCAUUACUUUUCUUUCUAGUUGCCUCUUCACGCUAUUACUUACUGCUAGAUUCACUAAUUUCUUGGGCAUGUUCAAGUCAAGAAAAAGUUAUCCAGAAACGAGACAAAAAAAAAAAAAAAAAGAGUUAUUUAGAGUUGUGGAAUAAUAUAUAGCUGAAAGAUAAAAAAUACAAAUCAAAGUCUAAGACCCUAAUCAUUUACUACUUGUAAAAGAAAGGAAUACAGUCCUGCCAUGAAGACAAGUCGUUGCUCCAUUCUCCUUGGAGCAACAGGAAUUAGGAAACAGACAAGCUAAACAGGGCUGCCACCUCCCUAUCAAAACCUGUCAAGCCAAAAUACUAUUACUUUUGGGAUGUCAGUGUCUUACAAAACUACUUAGCAUUAAUUGACAACUUCUCCUGCAGCAUAAGAGAUUUAAUUGCAAAGUUAGCACAACCCAUAGUUUGAAGCAGCAGAGCCCGCGUCAAACGUGGCAGCUUUAAAAAUUAUUUAGCCUUGGUGAAGGCAAAAUUCAGAGGACAAAAAGUUCUUCUUGUCAGGGAUGACUAUACACAAGCUUGAUUGAAAGGCUGUCUUGGUCUCUGUUGUCACCAAUAAACAUGACCCACAUUUUGCCACUGCUGUGUUGGGAAAUAUAUUGAGGAUACUGCAGAGAAGGUGCUUUUGGUUAUGACUAACAAUUUGUAAGGACGUUCAAGUACUGCAUUAAAUCUCACAUGUUAAAAUAGUUUCUGCUUCAAAAUACAGGACAAAGUUUGCUGAUGGAACAGAGAAAAAAGACAACAGAUUUUUGGCAUAUGUGAUUAGAUGCUUGUCAGCGAGACUGUUCUCUGAGAUAUUCAUAGUCUGGUUGAAACCUUGCUGUUGCCUCCAUAGUGUGAAGCUGCAAUUGUAUUGAUAUCUCUUUCACUAUAAAGAUGUUUCACUG